UUUAUGAGUAUGUGUGCAUGAGUCUGCAU
rnacentral:piRNA from 1 species